GGGAAGGUUUUAUGCGCACUUUUCUUAGUAAAAAGAGUGAAAUUUUAAAAUUUGAAGCUAUAGGAUCUAACAACUCUCUAGAAAAAGAAUUGACCGAAUCGGUUGAUUUAUAUUGAUUCACCCGAUAUCAAAUCAUAACUCGUAAGAUUUGGUCAGACAUUUGCAAUUCACUCCUUAGAUUUGAAUUGAUAGGAUGGAGAAUUGAAUUGAAUCGUACAAUUCGAAUCAAGAAUUGCAAGAUUCUAACAACAGUGACCACAACAAUCUAUGAUCUUACUGGUUUAAUGU
rnacentral:misc_RNA from 1 species